AACAUAUGAACUCACAGUAGAGGUACAGUCCUAUGAUCCCAGACAGUAACAUAUGAACUCACAGUAGAGGUACAGUCCUAUGAUCCCAGACAGUAACAUAUGAACUCACAGUAGAGGUACAGUCCUAUGAUCCCAGACAGUAACAUAUGAACUCACAGUAGAGGUACAGUCCUAUGAUCCCAGACAGUAACAUAUGAACUCACAGUAGAGGUACAGUCCUAUGAUCCCAGACAGUAACAUAUGAACUCACAGUAGAGGUACAGUCCUAUGAUCCCAGACAGUAACAUAUGAACUCACGGUAGAGGUACAGUCCUAUGAUCCCAGACAGUAGGAGAACGCUCAACAGCCCCAGACACACUGCUGCAGCUCUUAAAGGUAUCUUCUCUGGUUGCUCAAGGUGUGUGUGUGUGUGUGUGUGCACGUGUAUGUGUGUCUGUGCGCGUUUGUGUGUGUGUGCGCGAGUGUGUGUGUGUGCGUGCGUGCGUGUUUGUCUCUCUGUGUGUGAAUGCAUAGAUUAUAUGAUUCCAUAUGCAUAUUUCCCACAGAUCCAGGGUAGCCCUGCAGCAGACACCUUAUAUGAUUCCAUAUGCAUAUUUCCCACAGAUCCAAGGUAGCCCUGCAGCAGACACCUUUUCAUUCCUGGUCUCGUAACUGCGUCCAAAGCAUGCCACAGUUCUCCCUUCUGUCACCAUUAGACUCACCAGGACUAGUACCUACAAAAUACAAGACAGGAAAUUAGUUUGCUCACGUUUCAGAAGUGUUAAAAAAUCCAUUGUUUGGUAACUGCCCCUUUCCUCCCCACAGAUUCUUCAAAAACAAUAUAAGUAGCUGGUGCUUACCCUCCCCCUUCAGGUUUCUCUCUUUACUCACUCUCUUCUGAACUCUCAACCAAUGUGAACCACAUGAUGAUGUAGGCUGUGUGUCUGCCUCAUAUGUCUGAUUAGCUAAAAUAAAAACCCUGCAGCAAUUUCAAUGAACAUUCCAGAAAUAUAUAUCUAUUGUAGGCGAUCUAUUAGAAUGUAAGCUACAACUUUCUGGGUCUGUUGUAACUAAGGAGUGUGCAGUAGCACAAGCAGGAUUAUUUGGGGCCAAACUUGAGGUGGGCACCAAUAUCAAUAAUUUAAUAUGAUAUAGUUUGAUAUAGUUUCUUUGUAUUACCUCUUAUCUGAUCUAAUGUGUUAUAUUCUCCUACAUUACUUUAACAUUUCCACAAAC
rnacentral:lncRNA from 13 species